rnacentral:rRNA from 1 species
ACGAUGCGACGCCGCGUGGGGGAUGAAGGUCUUCGGAUUGUAAACCUCUGUGUUAUGGGAAGAAUUGCUAGUGGGUGAUAAGCCUGCUAGCGUGACGGUACCAUAGUAGAAAGCCCCAGCUAACUACGUGCCAGCAGCUGCGGUAAUACGUGGGGGGCAAGCGUUGUCCGGAUUUACUGGGCGUAAAGCGUGUGUAGGCGGCUAUAUUAGUCGAGUGUGAAAUGGCUUGGCUCAACCAAGCAACUGCGCUCGAUACUGUAUGGCUUGAGUACGGAAGAGGAAAGUGGAAUGUAAGGUGUAGCGGUGAAAUGCGUAGAUAUCUUAUAGAACACCUAUGGCGAAGGCAGCUUUCUGGUCCGAUACUGACGCUGAGUAUACGAAAGCUUGGGGAGCGAACGGGAUUAGAUACCCCGGUAGUCCAAGCUGUAAACGAUGGGUACUAAGUGUAGGGGGUAUUGAUUCCUCCUGUGCUGUAGCUAACGCAUUAAGUACCCCGCCUGGGGAGUACGGCCACAAGGUUAAAACUCAAGGUAAUUGACGGGGGGCCGCACAAGCGGUGGAGCAUGUCGCUUAAUUCGAAGCAACGCGAAGAACCUUAUCCAGGGCUUGACAUCGCGCUGACCGCCAUAGAAAUAUGGCUUUCCUUUUGGACAGCGUGACAGGUGCUGCAUGGCUGUCGUCAGCUCGUGUCGUGAGAUGUUGGGUUAAGUCCCGCAGCGAGCGCAACCCCUGUCGCUAGUUACCAUCAGGUAAUGCUGGGGACUCUAGUGAGACCGCUGGUGACGAGCC